rnacentral:rRNA from 1 species
UGCAAGUCGAGCGGACAGAUGGGAGCUUGCUCCCUGAUGUUAGCGGCGGACGGGUGAGUAACACGUGGGUAACCUGCCUGUAAGACUGGGAUAACUCCGGGAAACCGGGGCUAAUACCGGAUGCUUGUUUGAACCGCAUGGUUCAAACAUAAAAGGUGGCUUCGGCUACCACUUACAGAUGGACCCGCGGCGCAUUAGCUAGUUGGUGAGGUAAUGGCUCACCAAGGCAACGAUGCGUAGCCGACCUGAGAGGGUGAUCGGCCACACUGGGACUGAGACACGGCCCAGACUCCUACGGGAGGCAGCAGUAGGGAAUCUUCCGCAAUGGACGAAAGUCUGACGGAGCAACGCCGCGUGAGUGAUGAAGGUUUUCGGAUCGUAAAGCUCUGUUGUUAGGGAAGAACAAGUGCCGUUCAAAUAGGGCGGCACCUUGACGGUACCUAACCAGAAAGCCACGGCUAACUACGUGCCAGCAGCCGCGGUAAUACGUAGGUGGCAAGCGUUGUCCGGAAUUAUUGGGCGUAAAGGGCUCGCAGGCGGUUUCUUAAGUCUGAUGUGAAAGCCCCCGGCUCAACCGGGGAGGGUCAUUGGAAACUGGGGAACUUGAGUGCAGAAGAGGAGAGUGGAAUUCCACGUGUAGCGGUGAAAUGCGUAGAGAUGUGGAGGAACACCAGUGGCGAAGGCGACUCUCUGGUCUGUAACUGACGCUGAGGAGCGAAAGCGU